CCUGGCGGCUGUAGCGCGGUGGUCCCACCUGACCCCAUGCCGAACUCAGAAGUGAAACGCCGUAGCGCCGAUGGUAGUGUGGGGUCUCCCCAUGUGAGAGUAGGGAACUGCCAGGC
rfam:Erwinia sp. EM595 isolate E_g_EM595 genome assembly, chromosome: 1